GAAGACGACCAUAAUAGCUUGGAAACACCUGUUCCCAUUCCGAACACAGAAGUUAAGCUUGCUAUGUUGUUGGAGUUAGUAUCCUAACGGAUGUGAAACCAAUAAGUUGUCUUCU
rnacentral:rRNA from 1 species